rnacentral:ncRNA from 2 species
AAGGCUAUGUGUAACUGGCGAAACGCGGAUCACCGCGAGGGAGCACAUAGUAUCGUUAGCCGUUCGCCUGGGCAGAGGUA